rnacentral:pre_miRNA from 1 species
AUCACCUGGGGAUUUUGUUAACACGCAUAUUGCAAUUCAGUAGGUCUGGUGGGGCCUGAGAUUCUGCAUUUCUAACAAGCUCUCAGGCCUUGUCA